CGAUUUAUCAGAGCCGUCGGAAUCGAUCGUCGCUGUUGUACUCCCGCAGCAGCCUCACUCUCGUCGGAUUAUUUUCUUCCGCCGGCGAGACUCACGCGUACGAAUUCGAUCUGGCCUGUUCCGAAAGCGUCUUCCGAUCCCGUUUUUUUCUGAUCUUCUCUUUCUCUUCUUCAUCUUCUUCUUCUCCUCUCUCUCUCUCUCUCUCUCUCUCUCUGAUUCAUGUACUUACUUAUUUGUGUACAAACAGAUUCUUGUUGGCAGAUCGCCAGGGGCGCGCAAAUUAAAAUCGCACGGUACGCGGAAAGCGACGAGAGAAGUUACUUUACCGUGAUUGUGAAAGUGUAUCGAUAGAACGACAGGGACGAGGAGGAGGAGGAAGGAGAAGAAGAAGACGACAACGACGACGACGACGAUCGUCGUCGCGAUCUGGGUUAUCGUGUCAGCUUUUCAGCCGGGCCGAACGACAAACACAGCGGAUGUGAAACUCCAUGCAGCUAAAACAUGGAUCUCACAGAUGGCGGUUCUAUCUUUCGUGUGGAAAAUUCUGAACGCGAAGACCCUUUUCUCGGACACGGCGAACACGUCAUCAUCAUCUUCGGUCUCACUCUCGCAGCGAGGGUGGGCGAAGUCGAAGUAACAAUCUACGCUGAAGAGAAUUCGUUUCGCCUACGGCUGACGUCGAGAAACUGCGCAAAAGUCGCGAAUUGCGAAAAUCGAGAUUUUGCGAGGACCAACGUCGGUCGUCCUCCCCCCUCUCUCUUUCUCUCUCCCUUGCCGAUUUGCCUCACUGAACGUUCAGAUUAUUUGCGUUCAAAGUGUUGAAACAAUAUUCCGCCAGAUAUUCGAUCUAACGCAGAUCAGUAAAUAAAUUAAAUAAAAAAAAAGACUUUACUUGAACCUCCUCAACCGCAGCGAUUGAUCACGUAUUUUCGCUCACGUUACUUUGUUUAUCGUGUAAUAAUCAUUAUCUCACUAUUUCUAAGUUGUAUUCUUUCUAUCUUAACUGUUUAAUUUUCGUGAUCCAGUCGUAGGUUUCGUUUGGUUUCGAUUUAGAUCUAGUCUUAAUUUACCUUCGAGUGAUCACAUCAAAAUUCUUUACAAGCAUGUCACAUUAAUUAUAUAACUGUUCUCUUUUCUUUUUGUAAUCGAUGUAUACUGUUGAGUAAGCGUCUGAAGGAACUUCGUUUCACAAAUAAACUUAUUUCUCGCUUU